GAAAUGCGAUAAGUAAUGUGAAUUGCAGAAUUCAGUGAAUCAUCGAAUCUUUGAACGCACAUUGCGCCCCCUGGCAUUCCGGGGGGCAUGCCUGUCCGAGCGUCAUUACUGCCCUCAAGCCCGGCUUGCGUGUUGGGCCCCCGUCCCCCGCCGUCGGCGGGGGGCCGGCCCGAAAGGCAGCGGCGGCGCCGUGCCCGGUCCUCGAGCGUAUGGGGCUUCGUCACCCGCUCUGGAGCACCGGCCGGAGGCCAUGCCGGACGACCACCGUUUUUUAACCACAAGGUUGACCUCGGAUCAGGCAGGGAUACCCGCUGAACUUAA
rnacentral:misc_RNA from 1 species